rnacentral:rRNA from 1 species
CCCCUAGUAACUGCGAGUGAAGCGGGAAAAGCUCAAAUUUAAAAUCUGGCGGUCUUUGGCCGUCCGAGUUGUAAUCUAGAGAAGUGUUAUCCGCGCUGGACCGUGUACAAGUCUCCUGGAAUGGAGCGUCAUAGAGGGUGAGAAUCCCGUCUUUGACACGGACUGCCAGGGCUUUGUGAUGCGCUCUCAAAGAGUCGAGUUGUUUGGGAAUGCAGCUCCAAAUGGGUGGUAAAUUCCAUCUAAAGCUAAAUAUUGGCGAGAGACCGAUAGCGAACAAGUACCGUGAGGGAAAGAUGAAAAGAACUUUGGAAAGAGAGUAAACAGUACGUGAAAUUGCUGAAAGGGGAACGCUUGAAGUCAGUCGCGUUGGCCGGGGAUCAACCUUGCUUUUGCUGGGCGUACUUUCCGGUCGACGGGUCAGCAUCAAUUUUGACCGUUGGAUAAAGUCUAGAGGAAUGUGGCAUCUUCGGGUGUGUUAUAGCCUCUGGUCGCAUACAACGGUUGGGAUUGAGGAACUCAGCAGGGAAAAAA